rnacentral:rRNA from 1 species
AACGAACGCUGGCGGCAUGCCUAACACAUGUAAGUCGAACGAGACCUUCGGGUCUAGUGGCGCACGGGUGCGUAACGCGUGGGAACCUGCCCUUAGGUUCGGAAUAACUCCCCGAAAGGGGUGCUAAUACCGGAUAAUGUCUUCGGACCAAAGAUUUAUCGCCUUUGGAUGGGCCCGCGUUGGAUUAGCUAGUUGGUAGGGUAAAAGCCUACCAAGGCGACGAUCCAUAGCUGGUCUGAGAGGAUGAUCAGCCACACUGGGACUGAGACACGGCCCAGACUCCUACGGGAGGCAGCAGUGGGGAAUAUUGGACAAUGGGCGAAAGCCUGAUCCAGCAAUGCCGCGUGAGUGAUGAAGGCCUUAGGGUUGUAAAGCUCUUUUACCCGGGAUGAUAAUGACAGUACCGGGAGAAUAAGCUCCGGCUAACUCCGU